ACCCCCACCCCGACUGCCCCGGCGGAGUCGGCCGCAGCGAGUCCGCGCGGGGCGGGGAGGGCCGGGCCGGGCCUCCCCUACCGCGCCGGGCCUGCGAGGGAGGGGAGGGACGGGGAGCCGAGGGGAGGGGGCGCCGGCCUCCCGGCUCAGCUGCCCCACUGAGGCCUGGACCUGUUGACUGCGAUUGGCCCGCCUCAUCCCGCGCCCUCUCUCUGCUCGCAGCGGCCCCAGCCCUUCCGCGGCGUCGCGGGGAGGAAAUGGGGAUGGCUGUCCUCCUCUCCGCCUCCUUCUAACUUUCCUUUUUUUAUUUGGGUGUGUUGGGGGGGGUGCUGAGAAAGCCCAGGCAACUCCACCGCCGCCCCAUCCUGCCUCCGAAAGUCUCGUCACGCCCGACCCGCCGCCGCCCUCCCAGCCCCCAUGACUUAAAACCGCCUCCCCUCCUCGCAGCGGCGCCCCGGCCCGGAGCCCGAGAGCCCUCGACGCCCCCGCCGCGCCUCCCCCGCCUGGCCUGGCCCAGCGGCGUCCCCAGCGAAUUGUGUCGCUUUUCUGCCCUGGAAGCUCCCUCGGCCACGUUCCACUUUUUUUCCCAGUCCCAGGAGGCGUAAGAUAAAACCUCUGAUUUGCUGCGUGCUGCCGGGCACAUUCUCUGCCCUCUCGUCCGAAGGACGAGUUUAAAAUGGAGAGUUUAAAAUAAUAGCAUUUACAGGAGGAAAUAAAGAGCGAGGAGAUGGUUCUUUGGCCGGUUUUAAGACAUACAUGCUUUUUUUUUCUUUUAAUACAAGAUGUCUUAAGGGUUAAAAGCGUUCUAGGGUUUGCUGUAUUUCCUUCUAGAUUUGGGGUUUCCUGAGGAAAUCUUUUCCGGAGGGAAAUAGCAAAUCAACAUUAAGAUGGAAGCGAGACUUCUCAGCCACUUUUGGAAAUGAAGGGGGAAAUUGUAAAAAUACAUUCAGAAAAGGGCGCGAAGGCGGCGGCUGAGGGGAAGAAGCUGGAGUCUUGGGAGGAAGCGCAGUGGGUUGGAAUCGGGGGAAGGAGGGCCCGCUAGGUCCGGGCGGGGAAGAAGGCGUGCGGGCGGCGGGGCGUGCGCCGGGCCGGGCAGCUGGAGGAAGGCGCGGCGGGACUGGCGAGCGCGAAGAGGCAGGCGGGGAAGGCCUC
rnacentral:lncRNA from 1 species